rnacentral:rRNA from 1 species
AUUGAACGCUGGCGGCAGGCCUAACACAUGCAAGUCGAGCGGUAGCACAGAGAGCUUGCUCUCGGGUGACGAGCGGCGGACGGGUGAGUAAUGUCUGGGAAACUGCCUGAUGGAGGGGGAUAACUACUGGAAACGGUAGCUAAUACCGCAUAACGUCGCAAGACCAAAGUGGGGGACCUUCGGGCCUCAUGCCAUCAGAUGUGCCCAGAUGGGAUUAGCUAGUAGGUGGGGUAACGGCUCACCUAGGCGACGAUCCCUAGCUGGUCUGAGAGGAUGACCAGCCACACUGGAACUGAGACACGGUCCAGACUCCUACGGGAGGCAGCAGUGGGGAAUAUUGCACAAUGGGCGCAAGCCUGAUGCAGCCAUGCCGCGUGUGUGAAGAAGGCCUUCGGGUUGUAAAGCACUUUCAGCGGGGAGGAAGGCGUUAAGGUUAAUAACCUUGGCGAUUGACGUUACCCGCAGAAGAAGCACCGGCUAACUCCGUGCCAGCAGCCGCGGUAAUACGGAGGGUGCAAGCGUUAAUCGGAAUUACUGGGCGUAAAGCGCACGCAGGCGGUCUGUCAAGUCGGAUGUGAAAUCCCCGGGCUCAACCUGGGAACUGCAUUCGAAACUGGCAGGCUAGAGUCUUGUAGAGGGGGGUAGAAUUCCAGGUGUAGCGGUGAAAUGCGUAGAGAUCUGGAGGAAUACCGGUGGCGAAGGCGGCCCCCUGGACAAAGACUGACGCUCAGGUGCGAAAGCGUGGGGAGCAAACAGGAUUAGAUACCCUGGUAGUCCACGCCGUAAACGAUGUCGAUUUGGAGGUUGUGCCCUUGAGGCGUGGCUUCCGGAGCUAACGCGUUAAAUCGACCGCCUGGGGAGUACGGCCGCAAGGUUAAAACUCAAAUGAAUUGACGGGGGCCCGCACAAGCGGUGGAGCAUGUGGUUUAAUUCGAUGCAACGCGAAGAACCUUACCUGGUCUUGACAUCCACAGAACUUAGCAGAGAUGCUUUGGUGCCUUCGGGAACUGUGAGACAGGUGCUGCAUGGCUGUCGUCAGCUCGUGUUGUGAAAUGUUGGGUUAAGUCCCGCAACGAGCGCAACCCUUAUCCUUUGUUGCCAGCGGUCCGGCCGGGAACUCAAAGGAGACUGCCAGUGAUAAACUGGAGGAAGGUGGGGAUGACGUCAAGUCAUCAUGGCCCUUACGACCAGGGCUACACACGUGCUACAAUGGCAUAUACAAAGAGAAGCGACCUCGCGAGAGCAAGCGGACCUCAUAAAGUAUGUCGUAGUCCGGAUUGGAGUCUGCAACUCGACUCCAUGAAGUCGGAAUCGCUAGUAAUCGUAGAUCAGAAUGCUACGGUGAAUACGUUCCCGGACCU